GAGGCAAGGGGGCGUGCCUAUCAUGCAAGUUGAGCGCUGAAGGUUGGUACUUGUACCGACUGGAUGAGCAGCGAACGCGUUAGUAACGCGUGGGGAAUCUGCCUUUGAGCGGGGGACAACAUUUGGAAACGAAUGCUAAUACCGCAUAACAACUUUAAACACAAGUUUUAAGUUUGAAAGAUGCAAUUGCAUCACUCAAAGAUGAUCCCGCGUUGUAUUAGCUAGUUGGUGAGGUAAAGGCUCACCAAGGCGAUGAUACAUAGCCGACCUGAGAGGGUGAUCGGCCACAUUGGGACUGAGACACGGCCCAAACUCCUACGGGAGGCAGCAGUAGGGAAUCUUCGGCAAUGGACGAAAGUCUGACCGAGCAACGCCGCGUGAGUGAAGAAGGUUUUCGGAUCGUAAAACUCUGUUGGUAGAGAAGAACGUUGGUGAGAGUGGAAAGCUCAUCAAGUGACGGUAACUACCCAGAAAGGGACGGCUAACUACGUGCCAGCAGCCGCGGUAAUACGUAGGUCCCGAGCGUUGUCCGGAUUUAUUGGGCGUAAAGCGAGCGCAGGUGGUUUAUUAAGUCUGGUGUAAAAGGCAGUGGCUCAACCAUUGUAUGCAUUGGAAACUGGUAGACUUGAGUGCAGGAGAGGAGAGUGGAAUUCCAUGUGUAGCGGUGAAAUGCGUAGAUAUAUGGAGGAACACCGGUGGCGAAAGCGGCUCUCUGGCCUGUAACUGACACUGAGGCUCGAAAGCGUGGGGAGCAAACAGGAUUAGAUACCCUGGUAGUCCACGCCGUAAACGAUGAGU
rnacentral:rRNA from 1 species